rnacentral:rRNA from 1 species
CGCGUAGGCGGCCUGUUAAGUCUGGAGUGAAAGUCCUGCUUUCAAGGUGGGAAUUGCUUUGGAUACUGGCGGGCUGGAGUGCAGGAGAGGUUAGUGGAAUUCCCGGUGUAGCGGUGAAAUGCGUAGAGAUCGGGAGGAACACCAGUGGCGAAGGCGACUAACUGGACUGUAACUGACGCUGAGGCGCGAAAGUGUGGGGAGCAAACAGGAUUAGAUACCCUGGUAGUCCACACUGUAAACGAUGAAUGCUAGGUGUAGGGGUAUCGACCCCUUCUGUGCCGGAGUAAACACAAUAAGCAUUCCGCCUGGGGAGUACGGCCGCAAGGUUGAA